rnacentral:rRNA from 1 species
UCGCGGCGGNGUGCGCAGAAGGGUCUGGGCUCGAGCCUGCCUGGAGCCGCCGCCGGUGCAGAUCUUGGUGGUAGUAGCAAAUACUCCAGCGAGGCCCUGGAGGACUGAUGUGGAGAAGGGUUUCGUGUGAACAGCCGUUGCACACGAGUCAGUCGAUCCUAAGCCCUAGGAGAAAUCCGAUGCAAACGGCGAUGGGAAACGCACUUGACUUGUUUAUGUGAGACAGAGACCCAUUGAUCGGGCGAAAGGGAAUCCGGUUCCUAUUCCGGAACCCGGCUGCGGAACCGUUGUUUGUCGGGCCCUCGCAAGGGGUUCGUCAGGGUAACCUAAAAGGGCCCGGAGACGCCGUCGGGGGCCCCGGAAAGAGUUUUCUUUUCUGCAUGAGCGUUCGAGUUCCCUGGAAUCCUCUCGCAGGGAGAUAGGGUUUGGAACGCGAAGAGCACCGCAGUUGCGGCGGUGCACGGGAAUUCCCGACGGACCUUGAAAAUCCGGGAGAGGGCCACGUGGAGGUGUCGCGCCGGCUCGUACCCAUAUCCGCAGCAGGUCUCCAAGGUGAAGAGCCUCUAGUC